UACGUAGGGACCAAGCGUUGUUCGGAUUUACUGGGCGUAAAGGGCGCGUAGGCGGCGUGUUAAGUCAGCUGUGAAAUCUCCAAGCUUAACUUGGAACGGUCAGCUGAUACUGAUGUGCUAGAGUGCAGAAGGGGCAAUCGGAAUUCUUGGUGUAGCGGUGAAAUGCGUAGAUAUCAGGAGGAACACCGGUGGCGAAGGCGGUUCUCUGGGCAUGUCCUGACGCUGGAGGAGCGAAAGUGUGGGGAGCGAACAGG
rnacentral:rRNA from 1 species